rnacentral:rRNA from 1 species
GCGGCGUGCCUAACACAUGCAAGUCGAACGAGAAAGUGGAGCAAUCCAUGAGUAAAGUGGCGACCGGGUGAGUAACACGUGACUAACCUACCCUAGAGUGGGGAAUAACCUCGGGAAACCGGGGCUAAUACCGCAUAACAUCACGAGCUGUAAACGCUUGUGAUCAAAGGAGUAAUUCGCUCAAGGAGGGGGUCGCGGCUGAUUAGUUAGUUGGUGAGGUAACGGCUCACCAAGACUUAGAUCAGUAGCCGGCCUGAGAGGGCGCACGGCCACACUGGAACUGAAACACGGUCCAGACUCCUACGGGAGGCAGCAGUGGGGAAUUUUGCGCAAUGGGGGAAACCCUGACGCAGCAACGCCGCGUGGAGGAUGAAGUCCCUUGGGAUGUAAACUCCUUUCGAUCGGGACGAUAAUGACGGUACCGGAAGAAGAAGCACCGGCUAACUCUGUGCCAGCAGCCGCGGUAAUACAGAAGGUGCAAGCGUUGUUCGGAAUUAUUGGGCGUAAAGGGUGCGUA